CUGCAGCUAAUUAAGCUAACUAUGCUCUUUCUCCUUGGGGGCCCAGUGUACCAUGGCUGCAAACAGUAGCCUCCUUGGUAGUGUAUGCAGCCUGUUGAUGGUAUGGAUUGCCCUAACAGACCUUAGAGACAGCC
ensembl:snoRNA SNORA70 Small nucleolar RNA SNORA70